AGAGUUUGAUCAUGGCUCAGAAUCAACGCUGGCGGCGCGCCUAACACAUGCAAGUCGAACGAGAAAGCCGGGGCAACCUGGUGAGUACAGUGGCGUACGGGUGAGUAACACGUGGAUGAUCUACCUCUUAGUUCGGAAUAACGCUGGGAAACCGGGGCUAAUACCGGAUGAGCUCGAGAGAGGAAAGCAGUAAUGCGCUGAGAGAGGAGUCCGCGGCCGAUUAGCUAGUUGGCAGGGUAAAAGCCUACCAAGGCGAAGAUCGGUAGCCGGCCUGAGAGGGCACACGGCCACACUGGCACUGAAACACGGGCCAGACUCCUACGGGAGGCAGCAGUGGGGAAUCUUGCACAAUGGGGGAAACCCUGAUGCAGCGACGCCGCGUGAGCGAUGAAGCCCUUCGGGGUGUAAAGCUCUUUCGUCAGGGAAGAUGAUGACGGUACCUGGAGAAGCAGCUGCGGCUAACUACGUGCCAGCAGCCGCGGUAAUACGUAGGCAGCGAGCGUUGUUCGGAGUUACUGGGCGUAAAGGGUGUGUAGGCGGUGAUUUAAGUUUGGUGUGAAAUCUCCCGGCUCAACUGGGAGGGAGCGCCGAAUACUGAAUGACUUGGAGUACGGGAGAGGAAAGUGGAAUUCCUGGUGUAGCGGUGAAAUGCGUAGAUAUCAGGAGGAACACCGGUGGUGUAGGCGGCUUUCUGGACCGUAACUGACGCUGAGACACGAAAGCGUGGGUAGCAAACAGGAUUAGAUACCCUGGUAGUCCACGCCCUAAACGAUGCAUAUUUGGUGUGGGCAGUUCAUUCUGUCCGUGCCGGAGCUAACGCGUUAAAUAUGCCGCCUGGGGAGUACAGUCGCAAGGCUGAAACUCAAAGGAAUUGACGGGGGCCCGCACAAGCGGUGGAGCAUGUGGUUCAAUUCGACGCAACGCGAAGAACCUUACCUGGGCUCGAACGGCUGGUCAACGGAGGUGGAAACACUUUUACCCCGCAAGGGGGUCC
rnacentral:rRNA from 1 species